UACGUAGGGUGCGAGCGUUGUCCGGAAUUAUUGGGCGUAAAGGGCUCGUAGGCGGUUUGUCGCGUCGGGAGUGAAAACUCAGGGCUUAACCCUGAGCCUGCUUCCGAUACGGGCAGACUAGAGGUAUGCAGGGGAGAACGGAAUUCCUGGUGUAGCGGUGAAAUGCGUAGAGAUCGGGGGGAACACCCGUGGCGAAGGCGGCCAGCUGGGCCGUCCCUGACACUGAGGCGCGAAGGCGUGGGGAGCGAACGGG
rnacentral:rRNA from 1 species